rnacentral:rRNA from 1 species
CCUACGGGAGGCAGCAGUGGGGAAUUUUGGACAAUGGGCGCAAGCCUGAUCCAGCCAUGCCGCGUGCGGGAAGAAGGCCUUCGGGUUGUAAACCGCUUUUGUCAGGGAAGAAACGCUCUGGGCUAAUAUCCCGGGGUAAUGACGGUACCUGAAGAAUAAGCACCGGCUAACUACGUGCCAGCAGCCGCGGUAAUACGUAGGGUGCAAGCGUUAAUCGGAAUUACUGGGCGUAAAGCGUGCGCAGGCGGCCAUGCAAGACAGAUGUGAAAUCCCCGGGCUCAACCUGGGAACUGCAUUUGUGACUGCAUAGCUGGAGUACGGCAGAGGGGGCUGGAAUUCCGCGUGUAGCAGUGAAAUGCGUAGAUAUGCGGAGGAACACCGAUGGCGAAGGCAAUCCCCUGGGCCUGUACUGACGCUCAUGCACGAAAGCGUGGGGAGCAAACAGGAUUAGAUACCCUGGUAGUCCACGCCCUAAACGAUGUCAACUGGUUGUUGGGAGGGUUUCUCUCAGUAACGUAGCUAACGCGNGAGUAGACGCGNGGUAAGGUAGGCGCGAGUAGUUAAGUUACAANAGAGUUGAGGCGNGAGAGNGCCGAGGACGACGACGAGGGAGGAGG